UAUACAGCGAUAACACUCUUGAAUGAUAAACAUGAAUAAUGAUGAUGAUCAUUUAAGGAUAUGAUGAUCAUUAAUGGAUACUUAUGGAACAUAAAUUAUUUUUCAGGGGACAGACCUGCAGAGAAAGAUCUCUCAUCAAGAGCACUAGAAUAUACAGAAAAACUGAAGUCAUCCAUUAUACAACAAACCGAUUUCCUGUUGUCAGAGGACGAAGACAAGAAAAUUAGAACCGAUGACAUCUUUACGAGUGUGACUAUCCAACGCGGUCCAAAACACUUCGAGGAACCCAAAGAAAGGAGAUUUGGCAGGAGGCAAUUGGAUGAAAUUCAAGCAAGUAGUA